UACGUAGGGUCCGAGCGUUGUCCGGAAUUAUUGGGCGUAAAGAGCUCGUAGGCGGUCUGUCGCGUCUGCUGUGAAAACUCGGGGCUUAACCCCGGGCCUGCAGUGGGUACGGGCAGACUAGAGUGCGGUAGGGGAGACUGGAAUUCCUGGUGUAGCGGUGAAAUGCGCAGAUAUCGGGAGGAACACCGGUGGCGAAGGCGGUUCUCUGGGCAUUAACUGACGCUGAGGAGCGAAAGCAUGGGGAGCGAACAGG
rnacentral:rRNA from 1 species